GCUCGCUCGAGCUCGGCGCGGACCCGCCCGGGAGCGCUCCUCGCAGCCCAGCUGCCCGGGUCCCACCGCCCUACCGGGCGCGGGCGAUCAGACUACCUCGGAGGGCGCGCCCAGACACCCAGUCGUCCGGCCACCUCAGUGGGCACACUCGGCACCCUGUGAUCCGACCACCCGCGGAGGCGCGCUAGCCCUCUGGGUGGGCGUGCUGGGCUUCUCUGCGGCGGAAGUCUGAACCACAGAUUGUGACUUCUUUUCUAGCAAUAGGUGUUGACUGGUCCGACUGCUGCCUUUCUGCCUGAAAGUAGUUCAAACUGAAGGGAAGAAAACAUAUGUGCUGCUUGGUCUGCUAUCUUCAACCAGAAGUCUGAAAUACGGUCUGAAUGCUGCUUGCAAGGAUCUCUUAGAUUGAGGAUAACAGACACCAGAGACUCGCCACCAUAAACAUUUCCACAAGAAAUGGUCUCUAACUGAACCUGGAACUCACUGACUGAGCUAGAGUUGCUGUUGAGAAAUCCCCACGAAUUGUUUGGUCUUCUACCCCUCAAAAUUUUCGAUACAGUGCCUCCUCGGGCCCAUCAGAGUCUUCCAGGAUAAUGACCACGCCUCAGGAGGAAGUGAGGUAAACAAGUCUCCUCAUUGCUAUGUUUUGUAAUCCUCAGACAAGAGUGGAGUUCCCAUCUGAAGAUCCUCAAAGGCAUGCCUGUGUGAAGCUUACCCAUGUAUGUACUCAGUGUAGGUGUGAUCAGUUUUCAGAUCCAUGCAAAUGUGAGCUGACUUUCCCCUGAUGUUUGCUGAGUGCAUGCCAACAGCAUUCUGCAUGCCUAACAUGUCUCAGCAACCAAAUCCCUGGAGCUGCCAUAUGCAGAGGUCUGUGGUGUGGCCAUUUUAUAAAUGAGCCACGGGAAGGCCAGAGAAAGAAACAGCAUGCUCCAGGUCAGAGCAGAAGGCAGCUUCCCUAGGAUCUGUUUUAAUGUUUGCUUCUUUAUAACACAGGAUCUCAUGAAACCCAAGCUAGCCUCGGACUCAACUGUAUAGCUGAGGAUAGCCUUGAAUUGAUUCUCUAGUAUUUCUACCUCAUACCCAGUUCAUGAGGUAAUGCGGACAGAACCCAGGGCUUCCUGAUGCUAGGAAGGGACUCUACCAACUAAGCUACAUCCCCAGACCCUCCUCUGGGAUAGCCCCAAGGUUCAAAUCCAGGGCCUUAACAACAUCGGGACACAGACUUAAGACACAGACAGCACUCUAUGGGUCCUGGGCAUGCUCCUACCCUGUCUAGUGAUGGCAAAAGCCAUCUUUUUAACAGCCUACACUAUGAUUCUUCCAUCAGACCAGAAAGGCCCUAGAUAGCCCAGCUUCCCAUUUUGAGCCAUCCUCGACAUGUUUAACCAGUGGCUUCGUGGGACUGCUAGACAAAGUUUGGAAAUCACCAAGAGCUUUGACUUUUCUGCCCACAAAAACAGUUGGCCUUGGCAGUUGUCCAACACGUUGACCUUAGAUCUAUUUAAUGAAAACCCUAUUAAUUCAAAAAGAAAGAAAGAAAACAAGACAAAAUAGGACAGGCAGUAGAAAGAUCUUUACAAAAAUCGUGUGUGCCCUUCCUCCACUGUUGCCUUGACCAGACAGGGCCACAAAGCUGACAGGACAGGACUAGGACAAUUGCUUUGUUAACACACAAGCACAGCGUGACAUGAACUCCAGAAAAGGCAUUUGGCAGGAUUAACCUGCUGAGGAUAAAGAUGUAGCAGACGGGACCUGAAUUAAUGGACUGGUAUGGCCAAAGUGGAGAAAUCUAUUUGCAUGUAAUAUUAACUGUACUAAUAAACUCCAGGCUGGGAUCCAACAGCCCAGGAGCCUCUUUGAACCAGGACUUGAUUCCUGCACAUCCUAUCUCCGACAUCUGCCAAGACUUGUGCAUGUAAGCCGGCUGCCUGCCGGUUACCACUCUGUCCUUGGUGCCUGCAAUAUCACAGGCCCUUUACUGACUCCAACUCAAGCAGAUCCCACUUACAAUAUUAUUUACAACCUAUGGAAAAGCAAUGAGGAAACGCAGGUUCAACACAUGUAGAAAAUAUCCACCGGGGCCUAGAGAGAUGGCUCAGUAAUUAAGAGUCCUGGCUAUUCCUCCAGAGGACCUGGGUUCAAUUUGUAACAUCCACUUGGCAACUAAGAGUCAUCUAACUCCAGUUCUGGGGAAUCUGAAGCCCUCUUCUCACAUCUGUAGGCACGGUGCAUACAUGGUACAUACACAUGCAAAACACAUGAAAUAAAAAACAUAAAACUUAAGAAGAAAAUGCCUACCUGACCCAGGCUGUUGGCCUGACCUGUGUAUUCUGAUUCCUUGAAAGUCUGUGUAGGAGUAGGGUGAGCAAGCCGACUCCUGGGAUGUGACAUUUCAGGAGGUACCACAGUCUGGCUCAGUCUCAGAACAAGGCGAGUGCCUAAAGAUUCAUGCAUUGCCCCUCAGACUGCCCUACUGCAGGUUACCAUAGGAACAGUGUAAUCUAUACCCAUUCAAAAUCAAUACACUUACAACAGACAGCUGGAUGUUGGGCGGUGUAGUGGAGGAGAAGAAUGUAGGUAGGUGGGGACCUCUGAGGGAUCCUACAAAAUACAUCUCAGAUCGUUCCAACCCAAGAGCAAGAGAGCCUGGUAUUUAUCUACCAGCUCUUUACUGUAUCUGGCUUGGAGAGUAAUUCCCACCAUGCAGACUAGGCAUAUACUCCCCCAAAGAAGCCAGGGAACCUGGAGCAACGGCCUGUGUACAAGACCGCCUAGGCCAUAUGGAGUGUAAAAAGGUGUGAGUCAGGGUGCGAGUGACACCCACUUAAAGUUCUUGUGUACUUCAACAAAGAACUGGACCAGGAACACUGAAUAAAGAUUGAAAUAAAAGGAAGAGAAAGAGCCCUUGAAACAAGGUUAGCUGCAGAGCUGGAACAGGUCUAAGAUUCAAAAGCCCCAGGCCCCAGGCAUCUUGGGUCAUUUACAUAACACCUGCCUUCCCUUGCAGCAUUUGGAGCCUGGCUUUUCUCUUGUGGUCUGUUUUGUGGUAGGUAGCCCUGGUGAAAGAGGUAUUCCCCGCCAGCUGGCUUGGGGGUAGGGGUGGGGGGCAGGGUUGACAUAGGGAGUCUUCCUAAACUGCUCUCCCUCUCUUUCAUCGACACAGGGCCUCUCAGUUGAAUCCGGAGCUCACCCGAACGGACUAUUCCAGCUAGCCAGCUUACUCUGAGGAUUCUCUGCAUCUGCCUCCAGAACGCUGCGAUUGCAGUGGGGCUGCCUGUCAGCUGCCAUUUAUAUGGGUUCUAAGUGGUUAGGCUUGCCCCAAGGGAGAAGCAGAGUUUUGAAGAUCAGAGGGCUAGGGAGAUGGCCCAAUCAGUGAAGUGCUCACUACACACCCAUGAAAACCUGAACGCAGUACAUACCCAUAAUCCUAGUACCGGGGAGGUGAAGACAGGACUGCCCCUGAGACACCCUGGCCAGCCAGCCUAGCCUAAUGGGCCAGCCUUGACCAGCAAUUAACCCUGUCUCAAACAAACAAAGUAGAUUGCUUCUGAGGAAGAAACCAUAGGUUGACCUCUGACCUCCACAUGUGUGUGUGUGUGUGUGUGUGUGUGUGUGUGUGUGUGUGUGUACACAACAACACAAAGGAGCUGGACCCAAAGCAGUUAUGGGGUCAGCCAGGGCUUAUCUUUGCAAAGAUUACGAGUUAAGGCACUCAAUUUGAGAUAAUCAUUUUCUAAACUAAGGAGCAGAGUUAGCUACAGAUGGUCUGCUAUGUCCCCCAGCCUCUCCCUUGUUUCUGAGUGACCCUUGUCUCUUAGUGCAAGGUUGGGAUCGUGCCAAAACAGAGGGUUUGGAAAUUUUACUUUUUUGGAGUGUGCUCAUGCGUCACCCCGAAGCUGCACCAUCUUCCUCUGAAUCCUGACCAAGGACGUGUGUAGCCUGUGCCAUGUCUAACUACUCCCGUUUUCUCACUGAGAUUUGCAAGCAGCUGGCCUUACUAUCUGCCACUGGCUUAUUCUCAGAGCAAGUGGCACUGAUCCCCAAGACAGUCACAGAAAGCACAUGUGUAGGACCCCCUUGUGAGGACUCCCUCGGGUCCUUAGGUCACAGGAGUCAGAGUGUCCCAGGGAAACAUGACAGAGAAACCUUCUUGAUGUAAACACACGAGGUACUUUAAUGGCAGAGCUCUGGGUGGACUCGUAUCUCACGCA